rnacentral:lncRNA from 1 species
UCUUCAGUUUCUCAUAUGGUACUGUUAGAAAUAUGUUUUUAUAUCCAUUUUACAGUUACAUAGUUCAAGCUCAUUAUGAAACUGUCAAAGCCAUCCAGCUGGUCAGUGGCCUUUUGGAGAUUCAAACUAAAGAUAGCAGCACAGCAUGUCUUUCCCUCACUGCACACAUUCCACUCUGCUUCCUGGGUUCAAGGAACCAAGAAAUGUGCUCCAGUGGAAGGAAAUUCCAGAGGCUAAGCUACUGUCAAGAUAAAAUGCAGCAACACACAUUGUCCACACGUCCGUCCUUUCAUUAUGCAGGAAAUUAGCUAAUAUACUUGGAAUGCGCACUUUUCCUGCUCAAGGUUUUUAUUUUCCAUUCUUUUUCAGAAAAGUUUCUUUGUAUUAGCCUACCAAGAGGACAUCAGUAGUCACCACUAGAGUCACAUCACUUACAGUGAUAAAACAAAGUGAAAAAAGGAUUUUGUUACACUGACAAAAGAGUGUGCAACGGGGU